CAGUUUGAUUACACUCCAGCACGGGCGGCAGAGCCUCGCGCUGACUCUGAAGGUUCUGGUAACUCGACUUCAGAUGGCAGAGCUGAGGCUGCGCCGCUCGCUCGGUGACGGCGAAUUGCGCA
rnacentral:precursor_RNA from 10 species